rnacentral:lncRNA from 1 species
GCCAGUAUGAGGGAGUCUUUAAGGAGAGGUGGAACCAGGAAAUGGUGCCUAAGGAACUUUGAUUGAGGGCUGCUAAGGGUCUACAUUGCAGGUCUACAGAAUGGGUAAAAUAGCAACAAGUUUCCAGGCGGGCUGCCCCAUUCCUGGGGAUGGUGAGGGUGAGACUUGCACAGGAAAGGUCUGAAUUUGAUUGCCCCUGAAGUGAAUGGACAAUGAGCACUGUGUAAGAACAAAACAGGGGCGGGGUGGCUUGUAUUGCUUAAGAUAAGAGAGAGGCAUGGAGCUGUCCAGUGCUAGAGGCCUUGGGGAUGGAGGAAAGUCAGAAGCCAACAUGUGUGAGCCUAGCAAAAGGACCUUGAUAGAGGUCCCCCUGCCACAGGCCUCACUGAGUCUGCCUGUGCCUGUGUACAGGUUCCUAAACCCCUGUGCUGGAGAUCCCCGCGCUGGAUGAGUCCUAGAGAAAAAGACUCCCCACUGGGCACUCUCAAUGCUUGUAUACACUUUGUGGUUUAUUUGGUGGUCAGUAAUUAAUGGCUUUGCUACGAAGUGGAAGAAAGCUAAUAGAACGUAAUCAAAAUAGUGGUUUAA